rnacentral:rRNA from 1 species
GGAAAGACCCCGUGCACCUUUACUGUAGCUUUGCGCUGGUAUUCGUGACUGUUUGUGUAGAAUAGGUGGUAGACUUUGAAGCCGUGGCGCCAGCCAUGGUGGAGUCGAAAUGUGAAAUACCACCCUAAUGGUUAUGGAUAUCUAACCGCAUCCCUUUAGCGGGGAUCGGGACAGCGCAUGGUGGGCAGUUUGACUGGGGCGGUCGC